CUGUCUUGAAUUGUGUAAAUAAGGUUAGUUUAUAAAACGCCUUCCAGGCAAUGCUGCAUGAAAAUUAUAAAUUCUGAAUAAUAUGUUUUAUCCCUUGGCAAAGAAGCCCUGUGUCAGUGAACUUGUUUUUAUGAGUCGGAAGUAAUUGUUUUGAUAAGAGAAAUGGUUAUUGACAUGUUCAGAAAGUUUGAAAUAAUAGUUCCGGGCUUUUUUAAUUAAAAAAAAUUUCCUGUGGUCUCCCUUUGCUGCGCAAGGCCUCCCUUUCAUAAAG
rnacentral:lncRNA from 1 species